rnacentral:rRNA from 1 species
AUUGAACGCUGGCGGCAGGCCUAACACAUGCAAGUCGAACGGCAGCACAGAAGAGCUUGCUCUUUGGGUGGCGAGUGGCGGACGGGUGAGUAAUGUCUGGGAAACUGCCCGAUGGAGGGGGAUAACUACUGGAAACGGUAGCUAAUACCGCAUAACGUCGCAAGACCAAAGUAGGGGACCUUCGGGCCUCACACCAUCGGAUGUGCCCAGAUGGGAUUAGCUAGUAGGUGGGGUAAUGGCUCACCUAGGCGACGAUCCCUAGCUGGUCUGAGAGGAUGACCAGCCACACUGAAACUGAGACACAGUCCAGACUCCUACGGGAGGCAGCAGUGGGGAAUAUUGCACAAUGGGCGCAAGCCUGAUGCAGCCAUGCCGCGUGUAUGAAGAAGGCCUUCGGGUUGUAAAGUACUUUCAGCGGGGAGGAAGGCGGUGAGGUUAAUAACCUUGCCGAUUGACGUUACCCGCAGAAGAAGCACUGGCUAACUCCGUGCCAGCAGCCGCGGUAAAAC